rnacentral:ncRNA from 1 species
AAAAAUACGUAGAUAUGGAAAGUAUUUAAUAGAGAAAAGAUUAGCAGAGAGCCCUGUUUGCUGAAAAUGGGUGAUCUUUUCAUUAAAGAAAAUGGCCAUUGAGUAUUCAUUGCCGAACAAAUAAUUCUGUAAGGUAGUGACGGAUGCAUUCGUUAACAUGCUAGAGUAUGAAGUACUCGAAGAGGGAUAUUCUGCGAAGAAUAUCUAAAUAGAGGUGGUAACACGCGAAAAGCGUCCUCAAG